rnacentral:lncRNA from 10 species
GUUCUUUCCUGUGCUGAGAUUACUAAGAGACUGGGUCUCACUCUGUUGCCCAAGCUGGAGAACAGUGGCACCAUCAUAGCUCACUGCAGCCUUCAACUUCUGGGCUCAAGUGCUUCUCCCACCUCAGCCUCCCAAGUAGCUGGGACAACAGGUGAAAUUGAAGGCCAGCUUUUGGAACUCAACCUUCAAAGGAACUUAAAAUUUCCAUUAUGUAGAGUCCCUGAGGAAACUGGAUCCACUAGCUACACUGGCUGAGAAUGCUCUCACCCCAGGAUUUCAUUUUUAUUUUACCACAUCAUUGUUGGUAUCUUAAGAUCAAUGUACUGGAGCAGCGGGGUCUCACAAAGAGGAUACCUGGUGACACGCCCAGGCUUUCAGAAUGCACUAUAGGGCUUUAGUGACUUGUCCAGGUUCAGCUGAAAUGUGCCAUCUGGGACCUACUAAUGCUUGUUGAACUUUACUGGAUCUCAGAAGCUGGGUCUCAGAAGCUCAGAUGUUCCUCAGAGCUACGAUAUCAACAACCUGUGAUGACAGAGAGAAGGUUGCUCCAUGAUGGAUUUGGAAACUUACUGGCUAGCUAAACCUGACUGAAUGGGAAGGAAUGUGGAUAGCUUUGGAACUCUAGUUUCACUAGAUGAGCUGGAAUUUGUAUUUUGACAAAUUGCACGUUAUGAUUAUUAAGUAAUGCAACUGAUUUUUUUUUCCCUUAAAACAAACAAUCUAGAAUCUGUGUAAUCAAAAUAAUUUCUCUAAAAGGCUGCAAGUAUAUGCUUAAAGUGUUGGGGCAUUCAGAGCAUUUGGAACAUUACAUUCUUUUGAAUGUCAAUUGGUAGAUGAAAAUACCAGCUUUUAAGUCAUACAUUUGAUUUUUUGAAACAAUAUGCAUUUAGAGUUUGUAAGUCAAGUGAAUAACUGAUAAGGUAAAAAAAAGGGGGAGUUCAUUGUUGAGUAUGAAUUUAAAGUAACCAGACUGCCUUUUGUCCAGUGGCUGUCAGUAAUUUACUUCAGCAGGCAUUUUUUUUUUUUUGAGGCUGUUCUAUGAUAUCAUGACCCUUCUUGUAGGAAUGUGCUUCCAGUGGUGAGGCAGUCUGAGAAUGUGUGAAGCAGUAUAAUGAAGCCAGACCAAGAUGGAAGCUUGGCCUGGGAUUUGAGCAUCAGGAAAACUGUUGAAGGGUUAUGUAUACAUCACACACACACACACACACACACACACACACACACACACACACACACUCUCUUCCAUACUCCUAUAACAACGUAUAGUAUUUACUAUACCUGGUGACAGGUAUUUACUAUACAUUGUUGAAGAUCUAUAACAUGGAAUGCCUAGUGCUAAGUGCAGUGUCCUUAGUGAAAUUGUAUUGGUUUGGAAUUAUUUAUGAGUUUGGGAUUAUUUGUCACUACCCUUAAAUGAUCUUGACACUCACCUAUUUGAAAAGAUAUUGAGGAUUUGCCAUUUGAUAUUGACCAGGGUGUAUUGUGCACAAAUAUUGUGAAUAUACAUCUGUCUGUCCUUAAAUCACUGUAAGUUUUAACUGGAAUAGAUUUGCUCCACAUUACUCGGUAGGGCUGAUAUUUCAUGCCUCAUGGAUGAGAAAAGAAUAGGCAAAAAUUAUAUCUCGGGCUGCCUCACACAUCUUUUAACAGGAUAAGGGAAAAAUAAAUAUAAGACCUAUGAGUUAUGGCAUCAGGCUUGAACUUUAAUUUAUGAAUUAAACCAACAAUAUUAUUGAUUAUUGCAAUUAUCUAUCUUAAUUUCAUUUGUUCUCCUUUUAAAAAUUAAUUAUGUUUAUUUUACCUAUUGUGAAUAAAGUCACUCCUCCCAUGUGCUUAUUUCUUGACUCUGGCACUAAUUAUUCUUCAGUGCCUAGAUUUCCUGGGACUGCUCAGUUUAAGUAACUUCUGAACAUUGGUCUCUGAGAGAAAAGACAGUGAAGUGGGAUCUGUGGAAAAACACAUCUGCAAAUGUCUCAUUUUUUUCUUCAGGGGUAAGUUUUCUUCCUUGGAGACUCUUGUCUUGAAAAAGUGAUACUAGAUCACCAUUUGGCAAGAUAAUUACAAAAGGCAGAUAGAGUAAUUAUUUUACAUAGCUGUUAUAGGGUGACUAAGAUCUCAGGGAAUGACUGUGUUCUGUAAUCCACUUGCCCCACUCAAUACCCCAAGUUUUAUACAAGCCAAAGAUGCUUGGAGCAGAAUCUGCUACCUGAGGCUCCAGGGCCUUGGCCUAGGGAAACUAAUACUUAACUUUUUAAGUGGUCAUUGAUGACAUCCCACUCCUUUCUGAGAUGGGUAUGAUUUGAAAGGCAGGUGUAUUCAUGGAGAGCAGGGCUUGGGACCUUUGCUGCAAGAGGAGGAACUAUUAGCCUAGACUUUUCUAAUAAGGACUUUCUCAUACCUGUUUCCUAGAUCUGGUCCACAUAGAAGAAAUCAGGGAACACACAGGGUAGGACUCUUAAAGGAGUAUGUUUCUUGGCUUUUUCCUAAAAACUAAAACAAAAACAUUCAUAGCAAAGCAGUUUAGCCCAGUGACUAAGAGUAUAGACAUUGGAAUCUGAAAGAUCUGGGUUGGAAUUCUGCUUCAGCCAUUUACUAAUUAUGUAACUUCACAUCUCUGAGAAUGGGGGAAAUUUUCUUUGCAGGGUUGUUACAAAGCUUAAAAGAGUUAAGUCAAGUGCCUGGAACAGAACAGCCAUUCAAUAAAUCAUAGAAAUUUUUGUUUUUACACAAAUUUUUAAAAAGUAAUAUUUUUUGCAUUUGUUAGAAAGACUAUAUUUUCUGUUUAGUGGAUGACAUCAUCAUCAUAAAAAUCACUGUUACAAGUUUUGUUUUGAGAAUUAAAAUCAUAUAUUAAU